rnacentral:rRNA from 1 species
UACGAGGGGGGCAAGCGUUGUUCGGAUUUAUUGGGCGUAAAGGGUGCGUAGGCGGUUUGGCAAGUUUGGUGUGAAAUCUUCGGGCUCAACUCGAAGUCUGCAUCAAAAACUGCCGGGCUUGAGUAUGGGAGAGGUGAGUGGAAUUUCCGGUGUAGCGGUGAAAUGCGUAGAUAUCGGAAGGAACACCUGUGGCGAAAGCGGCUCACUGGACCAUAACUGACGCUGAGGCACGAAAGCUAGGGGAGCAAACAGG